GUUGGUGAGGUAACGGCUCACCUAGGCAAUGAUAGGUAGGCGGCCUUAACGGGUGGUCGCCCACACUGGGAUUGAGAUACGGCCCAGACUCCUACGGGAGGCAGCAGUCGAGAAUAGUCUACAAUGGUCGGAAGACUGAUAGUGCGACGCCGCGUGAACGAUGAAUCCCUUCGGGGUGUAAAGUUCUUUUAUAUGUGAGCAGUGCUUCUUAUAUUAAGAGUAUGGGGAGAGAGAUAUUAGCACAUGAAUAAGCAACGGCUAACUCCGUGCCAGCAGCCGCGGUAACACGGGGGUUGCGAGCGUUGUCCGGAAUUACUAGGCGUAAAGGGCAGGCAGGCGGAUCCAUAAGUUUAUCGUUUAAGGCGUCGGCUUAACCGGCGUAGGGCGGUAGAUACUGUGGAUCUGGAAUGCGGUUGGGGAAGACAGAAUUCCUGGUGUAGCGGUGGAAUGCGCAGAGAUCAGGAGGAAUACCGAAGGCGAAGGCAGUCUUCCAAGCCGUUAUUGACGCUCAACUGCGAAGGUGUGGGUAUCAAACAGGAUUAGAUACCCUGGUAGUCCACACAGUAAACGAUAAUCACUGGGUGUCGGGUUCGCAUAGGAUUCGGU
rnacentral:rRNA from 1 species